rnacentral:rRNA from 1 species
GACGAACGCUGGCGGCGUGCUUAACACAUGCAAGUCGAACGGUGACCCAGGGCUUGCCCUGGUGAUCAGUGGCGAACGGGUGAGUAACACGUGGGCAACCUGCCCCUGACUUCGGGAUAACUCCUCGAAGAGGAGCUAAUACCGGAUACGACCACUUCGGACAUCCGAUGGUGGUGGAAGUUCUUCGGUCAGGGAUGGGCCCGCGGCCUAUCAGCUAGUUGGUGGGGUAAUGGCCUACCAAGGCGACGACGGGUAGCCGGCCUGAGAGGGCGACCGGCCACACUGGGACGUGAGACACGGCCCAGACUCCUACGGGAGGCAGCAGUGGGGAAUAUUGCGCAAUGGGCGAAAGCCUGACGCAGCGACGCCGCGUGAGGGGAUGAAGGCCUUCGGGUU